rnacentral:rRNA from 1 species
UCCUACGGGAGGCAGCAGUGGGGAAUAUUGCACAAUGGGCGAAAGCCUGAUGCAGCGACGCCGCGUGGGGGAUGACGGUCUUCGGAUUGUAAACUCCUUUCAGUAGGGACGAAGCGAAAGUGACGGUACCUGCAGAAGAAGCACCGGCCAACUACGUGCCAGCAGCCGCGGUAAUACGUAGGGUGCAAGCGUUGUCCGGAAUAACUGGGCGUAAAGAGCUCGUAGGCGGUUUGUCACGUCGUCUGUGAAAUCCUCCAGCUCAACUGGGGGCGUGCAGGCGAUACGGGCAGACUUGAGUACUACAGGGGAGACUGGAAUUCCUGGUGUAGCGGUGAAAUGCGCAGAUAUCAGGAGGAACACCGGUGGCGAAGGCGGGUCUCUGGGUAGUAACUGACGCUGAGGAGCGAAAGCAUGGGGAGCAAACAGGAUUAGAUACCCUGGUAGUCCAUGCCGUAAACGGUGGGCGCUAGGUGUGGGGUCCUUCCACGGAUUCCGUGCCGUAGCUAACGCAUUAAGCGCCCCGCCUGGGGAGUACGGCCGCAAGGCUAAAACUCAAAGGAAUUGACGGA